rnacentral:rRNA from 2 species
GGACGAACGCUGGCGGCGUGCCUAAUACAUGCAAGUCGAGCGCAGUGCUUGCACUGAGCGGCGGACGGGUGAGUAACACGUGGGCAACCUGCCCCAAAGCGGGGGAUAACAUUUGGAAACAGGUGCUAAUACCGCAUAACUUGGAACCACAUGGUUUCCAAUAAAAGAUGUUCGUAUCACUUUGGGAUGGGCCCGCGGUGCAUUAGCUAGUUGGUAAGGUAACGGCCUACCAAGGCGAUGAUGCAUAGCCGAGUUGAGAGGCUGAUCGGCCACAAUGGAACUGAGACACGGUCCAUACUCCUACGGGAGGCAGCAGUAGGGAAUCUUCCACAAUGGGCGCAAGCCUGAUGGAGCAACACCGCGUGAGUGAAGAAGGGUUUCGGCUCGUAAAACUCUGUUGUUGGAGAAGAACGUGCGUAAGGUAAUUUACGCAGUGACGGUAUCCAACCAGAAAGUCACGGCUAACUACGUGCCAGCAGCCGCGGUAAUACGUAGGUGGCAAGCGUUAUCCGGAUUUAUUGGGCGUAAAGCGAGCGCAGGCGGUUGCUUAGGUCUGAUGUGAAAGCCUUCGGCUUAACCGAAGAAGGGCAUCGGAAACCGGGCGACUUGAGUGCAGAAGAGGACAGUGGAACUCCAUGUGUAGCGGUGGAAUGCGUAGAUAUAUGGAAGAACACCAGUGGCGAAGGCGGCUGUCUGGUCUGCAACUGACGCUGAGGCUCGAAAGCAUGGGUAGCGAACAGGAUUAGAUACCCUGGUAGUCCAUGCCGUAAACGAUGAGUGCUAGGUGUUGGAGGGUUUCCCCCUUCAGUGCCGGAGCUAACGCAUUAAGCACUCCGCCUGGGGAGUACGACCGCAAGGUUGAAACUCAAAGGAAUUGACGGGGGCCCGCACAAGCGGUGGAGCAUGUGGUUUAAUUCGAAGCUACGCGAAGAACCUUACCAGGUCUUGACAUCUUGCGCUAACCUAAGAGAUUAGGCGUUCCCUUCGGGGACGCAAUGACAGGUGGUGCAUGGUCGUCGUCAGCUCGUGUCGUGAGAUGUUGGGUUAAGUCCCGCAACGAGCGCAACCCUUGUUACUAGUUGCCAGCAUUCAGUUGGGCACUCUAGUGAGACUGCCGGUGACAAACCGGAGGAAGGUGGGGACGACGUCAGAUCAUCAUGCCCCUUAUGACCUGGGCUACACACGUGCUACAAUGGACGGUACAACGAGUUGCGAACUCGCGAGAGUAAGCUAAUCUCUUAAAGCCGUUCUCAGUUCGGACUGUAGGCUGCAACUCGCCUACACGAAGUCGGAAUCGCUAGUAAUCGCGGAUCAGCAUGCCGCGGUGAAUACGUUCCCGGGCCUUGUACUCACCGCC